AUGGGGCUCGUCUGUGAGAUCACUCAUAACAUGUACCAUGGCUCUUCUCUUUUCUCUUUGGUCUCUACUGGUAGAGGAGAUUUCUUGGAUACUGGAAAUCCCUCAAAGGAAAGGGACAUUUGGAAGGAGGAGGCAAAGAUCCACGACUCCCUUUCUACUCGGGUUUCUUGGGUAAUCAAUUUGGAGGAUACUCUUAAGGCGGAGGAGAAGCAACAUUAG